rnacentral:rRNA from 1 species
CAGUAGCCACGGUAAUACGUAGGUCCCGAGCGUUGUCCGGAUUUAUUGGGCGUAAAGCGAGCGCAGGCGGUUAGAUAAGUCUGAAGUUAAGGGCUGUGGCUUAACCAUAGUAUGCUUUGGAAACUGUUUAACUUGAGUGCAGAAGGGGAGAGUGGAAUUCCAUGUGUAGCGGUGAGAUGAGUAGAUAUAUGGAGGAACACCGGUGGCGAAAGCGGCUCUCUGGUCUGUAACUGACGCUGAGAGACGAAAGCUAGGGGAGCAAAUGGGAUUAGAGACCCCAGUAGUCCCUGUCUCUUAUACA